UGUAAAUGUAAAGAUGGAGGUCCUGAUCAAGCAAUACCCUGAAUGUGCUACAGUAUAUUCAAUUCUGAAUUUAUCAUUGUCAAUUUUUAUUGCAGCAUGAGGUGAAGACGUAAACCUGAGGAUACAAAGGAGAACAAACGACGGAAACAAACCAUGUACAGCACGCGGGCCAGAGAUUGAAUGUGUGCAAGGUCACUUUCAUGUCUGUGUUCCAGCUAACCAACAGCCGUCUUCAGGCCACAUUGGAUACAUGCUACAGUGAAAGAGGGCAUCAAGGAGCACAUUCUAUCUUACCCAAGAACCCAGAACCACUACUCUCAGAUGAAGGGGGAUGUACACAGAGAAUACCUCAGGCCUGAUCUGAAUUUGUUGCGAAUGUACCGACUCUACAAAGAGAAGAAUACCACAUCAUCUGAAAAAUUCUGGGUUUAUAGGGACAUUUUCAAACAGCAGAGUCUCAAUUUUGGCCAACCCAGGAGUGACACCUGUGGCAAAUGUGACACAUUCUUCACUAAGAUGUCAGCAGCAACAUCUGAAGAGGAGAAGAGAUGAAGAUUGCAGUUGAAAGUGAGUUGCACCAUCGAAAAGCCGAAAAGGCCUACACACAGCGUCAAAGUGACACUGAGUGGGCUAAAGCCCACUGCCAUGCUGACUGCCAUGUAAUUUCUGUGGAUCUACAGUGGGUGAUGUACACCCCUAAUCUGACCCACUGAUGUCCACUACCAGCGGCAGCUGUCAAAUUUUAACAUUUGCAUCCAGGAACUUGGAAAAGAAGAUCCUGCAUACAUGUGUGUUUGGCAUGAGGGGAUUGCACACAGAGGAUCCAUUGAGGUGGCAAGCUGCAUAUUGAAGUGGGUGAAGACAAAAUUCACACCACUCACCAAACCAGAGGUGCGCAAGUUGAUCAUCUUCAGUGACAGAUGCUGUGGGCAGAAUAACAACUGAUGGAUGCUCAAUCUGAUGUCGAUGCUCGUCUCUAUGGAUUACUUUACCCAAGUUGAGCAGAAGUUCAUGGUCUCUGGUCAUCCUUUUCUUCCUUCUGAUGGAUCUUUUGCCACCAUCGUGAGGAGGCGCAAGGUGUCAGUCCUUCAUACACCUGAUGAUGUUUCAAAGAUGAUACUUUAAGCACAACCAGCAAAAUCAUUCAAGGUUAUGUGGAUGCAAUGUGAAGACUUAAGGCACCUCCCAGAUUCUGUCCUCAAGCGACCAGCUGGACUACAGAUCACCUCAGUGAAGUGGUUAAAAGUCACAGAUGAGAAUCCUUGGACUCUGUACACCAGACAGAGCCACAGUCUAUAUGAGGGAUGGAAAUCGUGGCUGAUCUCCAAACCAAAACAAGGAGCUACACCUCAACCUCCCUAUUUUGCAAGCCACUACCCUAGAGCAUAUGAGAGUCCUCUGCCCAUCAAAAAAAACAAGUACUAAGAUCUGAUGACCAUGCUCAACUACUUGCCAGCUGCUGCACGCUCUUUUUAAAAAUCACUGCAGAGUGAAUCAUUUGAUGUUAAACCAAGCUAUGUAAUUAACUGUUUUUACUGUGAGUUUGAUCCCCUGAACCUGUAUACAUUUCAGAAGACAUGUCACCCUUAUUAUAGGAAAUUAAAUGUAUAGGUGUUUUCUAUGUGAAUCAAUGUGUAUGAUUUGAACCAGCACAAUAUAUUGAAUUAAUUUAAGAUGUUCCUAGUGUAGAAAAUGUUAUGUACAAUGUGUUCUGUUGAAUUAUUUUGUGUGAUCAUUUGAACUUUUUUAAAUCUGUAUUAAUUAAAAACAUA